rnacentral:rRNA from 1 species
AGAGUUUGAUCCCGGCUCAGGAUAAACGCUGGCGGCGUGCCUUAUGCAUGCAAGUCGAACGGGUCACUUCGGUGGCUAGUGGCGAACGGGUGAGUAACGCGUAAGUAACCUACCCCUAAGUUGGGAAUAACCUUGGGAAACCGAGGCUAAUGCCGAAUGUGGUGUCAGGGUGAUGCUCUGACACUAAAGCCGCAAGGCGCUUGGGGAGGGGCUUGCGUCCGAUUAGCUUGUUGGUGGGGUAACGGCCUACCAAGGUUGUGAUCGGUAGCUGGCUUGAGAGGGUGGUCAGCCACACUGGGACUGAGAUACGGCCCAGACUCCUACGGGAGGCAGCAGCAAGGAAUAUUGGGCAAUGGGCGAAAGCCUGACCCAGCGACGCCGCGUGGGGGAAGAAGGCCCUCGGGUUGUAAACCCCUUUUCACAGGGAAGAAUAAUGACGGUACCUGAGGAAUAAGUCUCGGCUAACUACGUGCCAGCAGUCGCGGUAAUACGUAGGAGGCGAGCGUUAUCCGGAUUUACUGGGCGUAAAGAGGGUGCAGGCGGCUCGUCAAGUCGGAUGUGAAAUCUCUCGGCUUAACCGGGAGGGGUCAUUCGAUACUGUCGGGCUAGAGGACAGCAGAGGGAGGUGGAAUUCCCGGUGGAGUGGUGGAAUGCGUAGAUAUCGGGAGGAACACCAGUGGCGAAAGCGGCCUCCUGGGCUGUCUCUGACGCUGAGGCCCGAAAGCGUGGGGAGCAAACAGGAUUAGAUACCCUGGUAGCCCACGCUGUAAACGAUGGACACUAGGUAUAGGGAGUAUCGACCCUCUCUGUGCCGAAGCUAACGCUUUAAGUGUCCCGCCUGGGGACUACGGCCGCAAGGCUAAAACUCAAAAGAAUUGACGGGGGCCCGCACAAGCAGCGGAGCGUGUGGUUUAAUUCGAUUCAACACGAAGAACCUUACCAAGGCUUGACAUGCUUGAAGUAGGAACCUGAAAGGGUGACGACCUGUUGAGUCAGGAGCUUGCACAGGUGCUGCAUGGCUGUCGUCAGCUCGUGCCGUGAGGUGUUGGGUUAAGUCCCGCAACGAGCGCAACCCUCGUUGCCAGUUGUAUUCUCUGGCGAGACUGCCCCGCAAAACGGGGAGGAAGGUGGGGAUGACGUCAAGUCAGCAUGGCCCUUAUGCCUUGGGCUACACACACGCUACAAUGGGUGGUACAAUGGGUUGCAACAGAGCGAUCUGGAGCUAAUCCUCAAAACCAUCGCCAGUUCGGAUUGUAGGCUGAAACUCGCCUGCAUGAAGUCGGAGUUGCUAGUAACCGCAGGUCAGCAUACUGCGGUGAAUACGUUCUCGGGCCUUGUACACACCGCCCGUCACGUCAUGAAAGUCGGCAACACCUGAAGUCGAUGGGCUAACCUUGGAUUUAUCUGAGGAGGCAGUCGCCGAGGGUGGGGUUGAUAAUU